rnacentral:miRNA from 1 species
AAGACAGGUCAGAGCAGAUGGAGGCUCCUGGUGUUUCUCACCCUCACCAGACUUCCUUCCUCAUGCUCAG